rnacentral:rRNA from 1 species
UACGUAGGGUGCAAGCGUUAUCCGGAAUUAUUGGGCGUAAAGAGCUCGUAGGCGGUUUGUCGCGUCUGCUGUGAAAACUGGAGGCUCAACCUCCAGCCUGCAGUGGGUACGGGCAGACUAGAGUGCGGUAGGGGAGAUUGGAAUUCCUGGUGUAGCGGUGGAAUGCGCAGAUAUCAGGAGGAACACCGAUGGCGAAGGCAGAUCUCUGGGCCAUUACUGACGCUGAGGAGCGAAAGCGUGGGGAGCGAACAGG